rfam:Procavia capensis cont1.183940, whole genome shotgun sequence.
GACAAGGCAACUUUAUUGUUUCCAAGGAUAAUAUCUGGAGGAAUCUCGUAUACUUGGGCAUUUUUCCUCUGAUGUCCACUUGCUAUGCCCAACUAAGGAAGUAAAAAGUCUUUGAGGCAGCUACCAGGACUCAUUAGGGGUCUCUGUGAUGCUGUUUUCUGAUACUCUAGGCUGAGUGACUUCUCCAGAUUUCCCCACAUUCUUCCAGUUUUACUGGGUACAGAUUAGUUAUGAAGGGAGACUCUUCCAAGCUACCGCAAA